rnacentral:lncRNA from 1 species
AGGUGACUUUGAGCUUAAGAACGACCAGUCUCACACGUGGACUUUAAAAACUCACGUGGAGAAUAUUUCUCAUUCCUCAAUUUAAAACAUUCUUUAAUAGUAUCUCCGCUUAGAAUGGAGAAGUUCCAGGAAACAGAAUGCCAAGCCCUGGAGGGGACAGGAUAUGGGCUUCAGAAUCAUCCCGUGCUGUCUCCUACCACGCUCGGGUCAGGCAAAGAAAAAGGAAGAUCAGAGGAGGUAUAGAAUUUGCCCAAUGUUGCACGUAAUCAGUAAAUGUAAUGACGAGGGUGUGAACACCCAAGUGUAAUAUAUCUUCUGCUGGUAUUGCAGUUGCAGUGGGAGGAACGCCUUGCCCCUACCUACUAAAUCCUACUUGGAAGCAAAAGUCUAAAAACUGACUAUUAAUCUAUUUUUUUUCAUCAAUGAAAGCACCCUGAGUCAUAUUGCUUUGCCAAUAUUUUAUUAUGAAAAUUUUCAAACAAACAGCAAAAUUGAAAGAAGUUUAUAAUGAAGAACCCAUGUACCCGGUGGCAUGUUGGUAAGCUGGCUUUCCAGACAAAAAAUAAAAAAAGCUCUGACAUGUGUGGUUUGCUGAUUUCUGUGGUGUAGAUAUUCCCACCAUGGCCAAUUUCAAGAUACCAGUGUGAUUUGGGGAAGAUGUGAACAAACUCAGCUCAGGCACACCACUGCAUGGAACCAUCAUCUACACUCUACCACUAACGUUUCAGUAUACUUGUUUAUCACAUGUGUAUCCAGCCCUGUGUCAAUAAAUCUUAUUUUUUGUAAAUUUCAGAUAUAAAUAU